GAUUAACGCUGGCGGCGUGCAUAACACAUGCAAGUCGAACGAUGAAACUUAAAUGAUUUCUUCGGAAUGAACUUAAGUGGAUUAGUGGCGGACGGGUGAGUAACGCGUGAGUAACCUGCCUUACACAAGGGGAUAGCCGUUGGAAACGACGAAUAAUACCCUAUGAAACUAUCACUUCGCAUGAAGCGAUAGUCAAAGUGUUAGCGGUGUAAGAUGGACUUGCGUCUGAUUAGCUAGUUGGUGAGAAAAAAGCCCACCAAGGCAACGAUCAGUAGCCGGCUUGAGAGAGUGUACGGCCACAUUGGGACUGAGACACGGCCCAGACUCCUACGGGAGGCAGCAGUGGGGAAUUUUGCACAAUGGGGGAAACCCUGAUGCAGCGACGCCGCGUGAUUUAGAAGGCCUUCGGGUUGUAAAAAUCUUUUGUAUAGGAAGAAAAUGACAGUACUAUACGAAUAAGGUCCGGCUAAGUACGUG
rnacentral:rRNA from 1 species